rnacentral:rRNA from 1 species
AGUGAACGCUGGCGGUAGGCCUAACACAUGCAAGUCGAACGGCAGCACAGGAGAGCUUGCUCUCUGGGUGGCGAGUGGCGGACGGGUGAGGAAUACAUCGGAAUCUACUCUGUCGUGGGGGAUAACGUAGGGAAACUUACGCUAAUACCGCAUACGACCUACGGGUGAAAGCAGGGGACCUUCGGGCCUUGCGCGAUUGAAUGAGCCGGUGUCGGAUGAGCUAGUUGGCGGGGUAAAGGCCCACCAAGGCGACGAUCCGUAGCUGGUCUGAGAGGAUGAUCAGCCACACUGGAACUGAGACACGGUCCAGACUCCUACGGGAGGCAGCAGUGGGGAAUAUUGGACAAUGGGCGCAAGCCUGAUCCAGCCAUACCGCGUGGGUGAAGAAGGCCUUCGGGUUGUAAAGCCCUUUGUUGGGAAAGAAAUCCAGCUGGCUAAUACCCGGUUGGGAUGACGGUACCCAAAGAAUAAGCACCGGCUAACUUCGUGCCAGCAGCCGCCGUAA